rnacentral:rRNA from 1 species
CCUACGGGAGGCAGCAGUGAGGAAUAUUGGUCAAUGGACGCAAGUCUGAACCAGCCAUGCCGCGUGCAGGAUGACGGCCCUAUGAGUUGUAAACUGCUUUUGUACGGGAGUAAACGCAGACACGUGUAUCUGUCUGCAAGUACCUUACGAAUAAGGAUCGGCUAACUCCGUGCCAGCAGCCGCGGUAAUACGGAGGAUUCAAGCGUUAUCCGGAUUUAUUGGGUUUAAAGGGUGCGUAGGCGGUCGGAUAAGUUAGAGGUGAAAUCGCGGGGCUCAACGUCGGAAUUGCCUCUGAUACUGUCCGUCUAGAGAGUAGUUGCGGUAGGCGGAAUGUGUGGUGUAGCGGUGAAAUGCUUAGAGAUCAUACAGAACACCGAUUGCGAAGGCAGCUUACCAAGCUACGACUGACGUUGAGGCACGAAAGCGUGGGGAGCAAACAGGAUUAGAUACCCUGGUAGUC